rnacentral:rRNA from 1 species
AUGCACGCUGGCGGCGUGCCUAAUCCAUGCAAGUCGCGCGAACAGACGAGGAGCUUGCUCCUCUGACGUUAGCGGCGGACGGGUGAGUAACGCGUGGAUAACCUACCUAUAAGACUGGGAUAACUUCGGGAAACCGGAGCUAAUACCGGAUAAUAUAUUGAACCGCAUGGUUCAAUAGUGAAAGACGGUUUUGCUGUCACUUAUAGAUGGAUCCGCGCCGCAUUAGCUAGUUGGUAAGGUAACGGCUUACCAAGGCAACGAUGCGUAGCCGACCUGAGAGGGUGAUCGGCCACACUGGAACUGAGACACGGUCCAGACUCCUACGGGAGGCAGCAGUAGGGAAUCUUCCGCAAUGGGCGAAAGCCUGACGGAGCAACGCCGCGUGAGUGAUGAAGGUCUUCGGAUCGUAAAACUCUGUUAUUAGGGAAGAACAAAUGUGUAAGUAACUAUGCACGUCUUGACGGUACCUAAUCAGAAAGCCACGGCUAACUACGUG